ACCGCUUUUGAGAGGGGAUCCUCUGCUUGUUCAUUAUAGUCAGGAAUCACAUACAAUAUCUUUCCUUUCAGAUACUGAUGUCCCCCGUUGCAUGCAGACAGUACAACUAUACAACUAUAUACAUAUACAUAGCCACUUCAAAGUUCAAACAGCUGUCUUGAAUGGCUGCUUCUCUAUCAGUUGGGUCUCGCUUCAGGAGACUAUGUUCCUGUGCAACUUCAAGCCUAGUACGCACGGACCCUGUCUCUUCCACAUUGGUAAGCGAAGGCACCAAUCACAUAGACAUGCUCGAACUCAACUCUCGAUUGAAGCUAUUUGUGAAACUGGGAAAAUUGAAUGAUGCCCGCAAGUUAUUCGAUAAAAUGCCUGCCAGAGACGAGGUUUCAUGGACCACUGUAAUAUCGGGCUAUGUCAGUGCAAUGAACUCUACAGAGGCAUUGGCUUUGUUCUCAUAUUUCUGGGUCCAACCAGGACUAUGGGUGGAUCCCUUCAUUCUUAGCCUUGCGCUCAAGGCUUGUGGACAAAAUUUGAAUGUGAAUUAUGGUGAAUCAUUGCAUGGAUAUUCAGUUAAAAGUGGAUUGGGUUACUCAGUUUUCGUCGGGAGUGCACUUCUUGACAUGUACGCAAAAGUUGGCAAAGUCGACCAUGGUUGUCGAAUCUUUAGUGAGAUGCCAAUAAGAAAUGUGGUAUCUUGGACUGCCAUCAUUACUGGACUCGUUCGUGCUGGUUAUAAUGAAGAUGGGUUAAUGUACUUCUGUGAAAUGGGUAGAUCAAAGGUGGAGUACGACUCACAUACAUUUGCUAUAGCAUUGAAGGCCUGUGCUGAUUUGGGUGCUCUUAAUUAUGGAAGGGAGCUUCAUUGUCAAACGAUGAAGAGAGGCUUUUAUGAGACCUCUUACGUGGCUAACACUCUUGCAACUAUGUAUAAUAAGUGUGGGAAGCUAGAUUACUGUUUGUUCUUGUUUGAAAGAAUGAUCACAAAAGAUGUCGCCUCUUGGACAACAAUUAUCACAAUGUAUGUUCAAAUGGGUCAAGAGGAAACGGCUAUUGAAGCGUUCAUCAGAAUGAGAAAUUCGGCUGUGAGUCCCAACGAGUUCACUUUUUCGAAAGUUAUUUCUGGUUGUGCCAACCUUGGGAGACUUGAAUGGGGGACACAGUUACAUGCACAUGUUUUACAUUUGGGCCUUGUGAAUUCUUUAUCUGUGGCCAAUUCCCUUAUGACCUUGUAUUCAAACUGUGGAUAUUUAACUUUUGCUUCAAUUAUGUUUCAUGAAAUGCCGAACAGAGAUGUUGUUUCAUGGAGCACAAUUAUUGCAGGGUAUCAUCAACAAGGCUAUGGGGAAGAAGCUUUUGAGUAUCUAUCCUGGAUGAGAAGAGACGGCCCUAAACCAACUGAGUUUGCCUUUGCUAGUGUGCUUAGUGUGUCUGGGAGCAUGGCAAUUCUAGAUCAAGGGAAACAACUACACGCUCAUGUUCUUUCCGUUGGAUUACAAAGUAGAGCUAUGAUACAAAGUUCUUUGAUCCAUAUGUAUUCAAAAUGUGGGGGUAUAAAGGAGGCUGCAAAAGUAUUUGACGAGGUGGAAAGUGUUGAUAUAAUUUCGUGGACAGCCAUGAUUAAUGGAUAUGCUGAACAUGGAUACAGCCGAGAAGCAAUUUAUUUAUUUGAGAAGAUUCCUAGGGUAGAUUUGAGACCAGAUUCUGUGACCUUCAUCGGUGUCCUUACUGCUUGUAGCCAUGCUGGGCUUGUUGAUCUUGGUCUCAGAUAUUUCAAUUUGAUUAGUGAAGAAUACCAAAUUAAUCCUACAAGAGAGCACUAUGGCUGCAUGAUUGAUCUUCUUUGCAGAGCUGGACGAGUAAGUGAUGCUGAGCAAAUGAUCCAAACUAUGCCAUUUUAUCGUGAUGACGUUGUUUGGUCAACUCUACUUAGAGCAUGUAGAAUUCAUGGAGAUGUCGAUUGUGGGAAGCGUGCUGCUGAGAAGAUUCUUGAAUUAGAUCCAAAUUGUGCGGGUACUCACAUUACUCUUGCCAACUUAUAUGCUGCCAAAGGGCAGUGGAAAGAAGCAGCAAAUAUGAGGAAGUUGAUGAAGGAGAAGGGCGUAAUUAAGGAGCCCGGAUGGUCUUGGAUUAAGAUUAUGGACCAGGUUGCUGUGUUUGUAGCUGGAGAUAGGGCUCAUCCGCAAGUUGAAGAUAUAUACUGCUUGUUGGAUUUACUUGCUUCAAGGGAAGAAUUGACUCUUGAGGAAUUGAUUUCUAUUCUAAGUUCUAUUGAAGAUUAGACAAAGGUGGAAUUGUGGUUUAUUUUGCAUUUGCAAAUUGGGGUUAACCAGGUGAACGGGGUGAAUUGGGGGUGGGCUACAAAAGCAGACCAAAGGAAAAACCUACAAAGGAUCAUCCUUCUAGGAAAAGUGAGUAUGAUCCUUUUAUUAUUUAUUGGGGAAUUAAAAAUUUGUGUGACGCAUGAUUGUUUAUGGGGUUUCUUUGUUUAACAUAAUUAUACUUUCAAUCAGGCUGUAAUGUAGGCCCAUAACGGGCUUAACACAAUUCCUCAUCUUUGAUCCUCAUCAAUCAAAAUGUUAAUUCUUUCUGAUGUAUGGGAAUAAGUUCAAUUUUCUUCCUUAUAUCUUGCUUAUGGGAACAUUGAACUCUGUUUGUAUCUUGCACAGUCCCCUGUUAUUAUCGGAAAAUAGUGACUUUGUUCAUGGUUUUUAUUUGGAAAGGGCAGUUUUCUGUAACUUGUGUUUUAAUUAGUCAAAUUCCUUUUAAUAGGAAGAAUUGGUUGGUUUUUUAUUUAUUUUUUUCCCGAAUAUUAACGCUUCUGUUGUUUCAAAGAUUAUCAUCUUCGGUAAGUAAGUAUGUGUGCCUGCAUGAAUGUUACUUGCAUGUGCAGGAUUUACAUGCUCUUUUAGUUUGUCAAGAUCUGACCUUUAUAUCAACUAUAAUUUAAUGAAUGUUAUUUUCUCACUUUGACUGGAGACUCUGGACUGGCUGCUUGUCUGGUUUUGUUAGUUUUAGCAGAUGUUAUCCCAUCAUCAUCAUCCGAGCCUUUAUCCCAAAAGUUUGGGGUCGGCUACACGAGUCUAUGAAAACAUCACCACAUGUUCAUAUGUUAUCUGAACAUGUAAUUUUAUGAUGGAAGAACUAACGUUGUUUUUUUUUCUCUUUUUUGUGAGAUGUACUUCUGGUCAUCAUCAUGCCAUAAUGCAGGUCUUGAGCUGCUUUUUAUAUCUAAAUGGACUGCAAAAAGUUCAUCCAGGUGGUUGAGGAGAAAAAGAAGAGAGCUUUGGAGAAGAAGGAAUGCAGGCCCAUUGAAAUGGGAGCAGAAAUUGGAAGCUGCUACAAAAGCAAAGCCUGAUGCAGAAGCCAAAGAUAAGAAAUCAAGGGCUUCAAAGCACAAAAGGCCAAGAAAGAGUAGGAGACCUCACAAAAAACAUAGAAAGCAUGCACACUCAG